CAUCCUCAUCCUGACGUUUUGACAAUCGCAAUCAUAACAAAAGUUAUUAACUACAAUCAAAGCUGUGUGUGCACAAGACAAAGGAUCAGGUGAAUCACAGAAGCAGGAGAGCAUGGUGUUCGUGACCUUUGCCAGAAACUGCAAAGAGAUUGUGACACUCAUUUGGAGCAGCAAUGUGCUGCAUGGAGACCUCAAGUAUUGUUUCUUUGGGUAGGCAACCAGCAGUUUUCAAGAUGGUGAAUGCGCCGUCAUCUUGAGAGCUUGACUGAACAAGAGGCCAGAGUUCGCACCUCACUCUCUGAGGUGGGAUAGACUCCCUGAGGAAGAAGACCAAUAGCAGGCUCCCCUGAAGGCCCACCCCAAGCAAGAAGUUUAGAACUGGACACCUGAAAGGAGAACAAAAAAGGGAUGAACGUAUUCAAGGAACAAGGGAAGGCAAAGAUGAACCUCUUCAUGACCUAACCUAGGAAAGCAAUAUCCACUAGAAAUCACAUAAAAUUGUGUUCUUCAGUACUUUCUAUAUCUUACUGUAAAAUUGGGGUGAGAGAUCUUCCUCCUUUCAUGGACUUACCUAUACGUAGAUUCUGCUUUACACUUGUACACAAAUUUUCUUCAGCUCUGGUUGUUGGUAAAUUCUUUGUUGUUGUUGUUAAAUUCUAUGCAUUUCUAAACUAGAAGUGGUUGCUAAGUAUUUUAUAAAGUAUGUACAGGGGCUGGGGAAUUAGCUCAGUGGCACAGCACCUGCCUGGCAAGCU